GCAGGUGUGUUUGAUUUGGGUUGGAGCUGAAUUCUGCAGGAAAGUACCUCCAGGAGCAGGGCCAAACACUACUGCUUCCUUUUAAGGAAGCUGAAUGUAAAAUAAAAGAUGCAUCUCUCAACAUGUACUCGCAGCCGGGCAAUGGAUUGGGUCUGUUGGACAUCCUGUCUGGACAUCUGGGAAUUCUUUGACCGAUAAGCAGGCGAAUUGAAUCAAGUAGAUUGUACAGAAAGUGUGUCCAAGUCACAAUGAUUCGGCUAGCUGUGGUGCGAUGAACACCAAAGCGCUCUGCUAGAUUCCUGAGAGGCAGACCCACAGACAAGUGCAUCAGAAAAAGCAGCAGCUCAUCUAACGGUGCAAGUUUCUGUGAAAAAUUAAUAAAGAGA